UUGUUUCAAGUAGAGUGGAGCGGUGCUGCCCAGACCAUAGGAGUCGUAGCUCUUCUCUGCUUGCACAGAGUCUUCCAGAGUGGAAUAGAGAAUGGCUGUUGAACAUCCACAAGGCACCCGCAAGAUGCAGAAAUGGCAUUUAACACCCAUUUGUGCAAACAAUUAUAAAGACCACUGAUGUAAGGAAUACCCAGGUCAAGAAAAAGAAUGCAGCCAUCUCUAAAGCAGCCUCUGAUGUACCCCUUCACAAUCAAAAACAAUUAUGCUCUUUUGGCGAUAACCACUCUGAUCAUUUCUUUGUCUUUCAUUACAGCCUUGAUAUGAAUUGCAAAACCACAUAGGUUUAGUUUUUGUCUGUUUUCUCUCUUUGUAUGAAUAGACAUUCUUUUAUGUCUUUUUCAUUAAAAAUGUUUGUGAGCUUCAUUUAUAUUUCCUACACAGUUCAUUUUUUCUAUUGCUUUGUAUAUGCUAUCUCAUAUAUAAUAGUCUCAAUUUACUACUUAUCAUUUCUACUCUUCAUGGACAUUUGACUUGCUUCCAGUGUUUGGCUGUUAUAAGUAAUGUGAUUAUGAAUAUUUUGUGCACAUAUUUUGGUACACAUGUGCUUGUAUUUCUUUAAUAUAUAUACUAAAAUUGUAAUUAAAUUGUUGAGGGCUAUGGUUUGUGCAUCUUCAGUUUUACUAGACAAUGCCAGACUGUUCUCUAAAAAUACUGUGUAUGUUUUUUACUUGUAUCAGCAGUUUACAAAGGUUCCUUUUGUUUCAUAGUCAUGCCAGCUCCUGGCAUCGUCACACUUUAAAAUUUUUGCCAAUUUGGUAGAUAUCUAGUGUUAUCACAUUUAAUUGGUAUGCCUAUAAUUAUCAAUGAAAUUUAACACUAAUUCUCACUUGUCUGGAAUCCUCUUUUGUGAAAUGCUUGUUCAAAUAUUUCACCAAUUUUUAACUGGGUUGUUUUUCUCAGAUUUAUAGCAGUUGAAUAGGUGUAUAAAAUAUAUAUACAUCAUAUGUAUCUUCUAUAUUUUAGUUUACUGUCAAUUGCACAUGUGACAAAUAUUAUCUUCUACUCUGGCUUGGUUUCUCACUCUGGUGCCUUCUGGUGAAUAGAGGUUUUGGAUUUCAGUGUGAUGAAAUCUUUUUCAAUAGUGCUUGUUUAAGAAAUUUUCUGCUGCCUUGAGGUAAUGAAGAUUUUCUUGUGUUUUCUUCUAAAAGCUUCCUAGUUUUUAGCUUUAACAUUUAUGUUUUUACACUUCCUGGGAUUGAUUUGUGUAGGGUAGGGAUUCAGUUUCAUUUUAUCCCCCAUGUGAGUAUCCAAUUGCUACAGUAUCAUUUAUUGAAAAGUUCUUCUUUUGUACACUAAGCUGCAGUGCCAUUGUAGUCAAAAGUCAAGUGACUGUUAUGGCUACAUCUGUUUCUGGACUUUAUAUUUUGUUCCAUUGCUUUAUCUCCCCUUGCAGCAAUACUAUGCUAUCUUAUUCGCUGUAACUUCAUAAUAUUUGAAGAAAGUCCUCUUACCUUCUCAUUCCUCAUAUUUCUUGGCUAUUUGUGUUCCUUUGCAUUCCAUAUACAGUUUUGAAAUAGUUUGGUUCCAGUCAAACAUCUUUUGGGAUUUUGAUUGAAUUGCAUUGCGUCUAUAAUUAUGUGAGUAAAAAUUUGGGGAAUCGUCCAAUAACAUGAAUCGCUCAGUUAAUAUUACGUCUUCUACGUGUUUCUCAGCAAGGUCUUGAUUGUCUCUUGGCAGGGACUUCCUUGGUGGUCCAGUGCUUAAGACUCUGUGCUCAUAAUUUAAGGGGCAGGGGUUAGAUCCCUGGUCAGGGAACUAAGAUCCCAUGUGCCCACGGUAUGGCCAGAAAAGAAAAAUAGUCCUUGGCAAAUAGGAAUAAUUUAAUCCAUUGUGUGUAGUAUUUCCCUUUUGCAUUGACUGCCAGGAAUUUGAGCACUAAAGAAAUGAUCAAUUGUAGUAAUAAUCUUAGCCUGGGUUUUUGACACUGAGUACCUAUGAAGUAUGACCUUUGUGUAUGAUUUAAAUUUUUUUCUUUUGUUCUUAGCCUCCUCAAAUACAUUUUUGGAAGUGGGGGAUAUGAAAAUGAGAUAUAGACUUAGAUACAGAUAUAGAUAUUUAUUGCCUAAUAUUUUUAUUUUAAUAACAUUCUGGUCUAAUCAAGUCAGUUUUAUAUGGUACCAUUUACUCUUCUCCCUAUAUUUCUUUUUUAACUCCCCUUUCCACUCUCUUCCCCAGCCCCCUCAACCCCCUGCCCCCACUAUCCUCUGUCAGGCAGUUUCUGCCUCUGCCUCUUCGCCAUCUAUUCUCACUAACCUUUUGGUUUAAAUAUUGGCUCCAUCAGGAAAAAAACAACAAAUCAUCCCUCAGCUACAGCACCUAUGAGCUGUUUAACCUGUAGGUUCUCAUUCUCAGUGUUGUUGAGAAUGAAAUAAGAUGUGUAGAACACUUGGUACACAUCAGAAAUUCAAUAAAUGUUAACUCCCCCUCCUUUAUUUCUCAUUCUUGGGACCUUUAAAUAAAUUAUGGUUGAAAGUGAUUGCCUAAAAGUCUUUUGGUGGGUCCCCAAAGAUUUUUUUUUUAUUGUUGAGGUACAAUUGGCAUAUAACUUUAUAUUUGUUUCACGUAUACAAUGUAAUGAUUCAAUUUUUUCCCCCAAAAUUCAAUAUUUGUAUAUACAGUUGAUCCUUAAUGUGGAGAUUGGGAACGCUGAUUCUGUGCAAUCAAAAAUCUGCAUGUAACUUAUAGUCGGUCCUCCAUAUCCAUGGUUCCUCUGUAUCUGCAUUCUCAGAUUUAACCAACCACAGAUCCUGUAGUACUGUAGUAUUUACUACUGAAAUAAAUCCGCAUAUAAGUGGAACUACUCAGUUCAAACCCAUGUUGUUCGAGGGUCAACUGUAUUGCAAAAUGAUCACCACAGUAAGUCUAGUUAACAUCAUCACCAUUCAUAGUUAAAAUUUUUUUUCUUCUAACUUUCAAGAUUUACUCUCUUAGCGGCUUUCAAAUGCAGUAUAGUAUUAUUGUACACCAUGCUGUACAUUAUAUCCGCAAGACUUAUUUAUUUUAUAACUGGAAUUUUAUACCUUUUGACCCCCUUUACCCAUUUCACCCACCCCCACCCCCACCCCCUGACUCUGGCAACCAACAGUCUGUUCUCUGUAUCUUUGAGCUUGGUUUUUAUUUGCUUAUUUGUUUAAAUUCCACAUAUGACUGAGAUCAUAGGGUAUUCUUCUUUCUCUGUCUUUCUUACUUCACUUAACAUAAUACCCUCAAGGUCCAUCCACGUAGUUGCAAAUGGCAAGAUUUUAUUAUUUUUCAUGGCUGAAUAGUAUUCCAUUGUGCAUUGCCUACCUGUUAUAUUAUUUAAAUAGUUUGUAUUAUCUGUUUGAAUUUUUAAAAUUUAUGUCUCCGUGCUUGUACCUGUGCCAUGUUUUAGAUCAUUUCUUUUUUAAAAUCUAUGUCACUUUUCUGAAGAUAGCUGUAUUCUCUAUUUCUUUCAUUACAAAAUAAGUAUUUAUUACAACAAAUUUGGAAAAUACAGAGAAGCACAAAUAAGUAACAAAAGUUAUCUGUAAUCCCGUCAAUUAAAGACAACUGCUGUCAAUGCUUAGAAUUUGUUUCUAAAUGUGAUCAUACUAUGGCUACUGACCUGUAACCUGUCUUUAUCAUACCAAAAUACAUUGUGAACAACUGUCCAUGUCUUUACACAUUUAUCUUUACCAUGAAUUGUAAUGGCCUUAUCAGGUUACCAAUUUACUAAGCCCCCUUUUUUGAACAUGGUUUGCUUACAAAUUACUGCUAUUAUAAACAAUGAACAUCUCCUUAGGCCAAAUGCUACUGUUUUCCUUUUUAAAUUUUAUCUUUAGUUAAAUUAUAUAUAUUUUUUUCUUUAU